GGCUACGUAGCUCAGCUGGUUAGAGCACAGCACUCAUAAUGCUGGGGUCGCAGGUUCGAAUCCCGCCGUAGCCACCA
rnacentral:tRNA from 10 species